rnacentral:rRNA from 1 species
GAUGAACGCUGGCGGCGUGCCUAAUACAUGCAAGUCGAGCGAACAGAUGAGGAGCUUGCUCCUCUGACGUUAGCGGCGGACGGGUGAGUAACACGUGGAUAACCUACCUAUAAGACUGGGAUAACUUCGGGAAACCGGAGCUAAUACCGGAUAAUAUAUUGAACCGCAUGGUUCAAUAGUGAAAGACGGUUUUGCCGUCACUUAUAGAUGGAUCCGCGCCGCAUUAGCUAGUUGGUAAGGUAACGGCUUACCAAGGCAACGAUGCGUAGCCGACCUGAGAGGGUGGUCGGCCGCACUGGAGCUGAGACACGGUCCAGACUCCUGCGAGAGGCAGCAGUAGGGAAUCUUCCGCAAUGGGCGAAAGCCUGACGGAGCAGCGCCGCGUGAGUGAUGAAGGUCUUCGGAUCGUAAAACUCUGUUAUUGGGGAAGAACAAAUGUGUAAGUAACUAUGCACGUCUUGACGGUACCUAAUCAGAAAGCCACGGCUAACUACGUG